UACGUAGGGGGCAAGCGUUGUCCGGAAUCAUUGGGCGUAAAGAGCGUGUAGGUGGCUUGGAAAGUCUUACGUGAAAGCCUGCGGCUCAACCGCAGAAGUGCGUAGGAACUUCCUCGCUAGAGUCCGGAAGAGGAGAGCGGAAUUCCUGGUGUAGCGGUGGAAUGCGCAGAUAUCAGGAGGAACACCCGUGGCGAAGGCGGCUCUCUGGGACGGUACUGACACUGGAGACGCGAAAGCGUGGGGAGCGAACAGG
rnacentral:rRNA from 1 species